rnacentral:rRNA from 1 species
UGGGGAAUAUUGGUCAAUGGGGGAAACCCUGAACCAGCAACGCCGCGUGAAGGAAGAAGGCUUUCGGGUUGUAAACUUCUUUUACCAGGGACGAAAGAAAUGACGGUACCUGGAGAAUAAGCUCCGGCUAACUACGUGCCAGCAGCCGCGGUAAUACGUAGGGAGCUAGCGUUAUCCGGAUUUACUGGGCGUAAAGGGCGCGUAGGCGGGAGAACAAGUCAGAUGUGAAAUACCGGGGCUCAACCCCGGGGCUGCAUUUGAAACUGUUGUGCUUGAGUGAGGUAGAGGCAAGUGGAAUUCCUAGUGUAGCGGUGAAAUGCGUAGAUAUUAGGAGGAACACCAGUGGCGAAGGCGACUUGCUGGACAUUAACUGACGCUGAGGCGCGAAAGCGUGGGGAGCAAACA